AGAGUUUGAUCCUGGCUCAGGACGAACGCUGGCGGCGCGCCUAACACAUGCAAGUCGAACGAGCGAGAGAGAGCUUGCUUUCUCGAGCGAGUGGCGAACGGGUGAGUAACGCGUGAGGAACCUGCCUCAAAGAGGGGGACAACAGUUGGAAACGACUGCUAAUACCGCAUAAGCCCACGGCUCGGCAUCGAGCAGAGGGAAAAGGAGCAAUCCGCUUUGAGAUGGCCUCGCGUCCGAUUAGCUAGUUGGUGAGGUAACGGCCCACCAAGGCGACGAUCGGUAGCCGGACUGAGAGGUUGAACGGCCACAUUGGGACUGAGACACGGCCCAGACUCCUACGGGAGGCAGCAGUGGGGAAUAUUGCACAAUGGGGGAAACCCUGAUGCAGCGACGCCGCGUGGAGGAAGAAGGUCUUCGGAUUGUAAACUCCUGUUGUUGGGGAAGAUAAUGACGGUACCCAACAAGGAAGUGACGGCUAACUACGUGCCAGCAGCCGCGGUAAAACGUAGGUCACAAGCGUUGUCCGGAAUUACUGGGUGUAAAGGGAGCGCAGGCGGGAAGACAAGUUGGAAGUGAAAUCUAUGGGCUCAACCCAUAAACUGCUUUCAAAACUGUUUUUCUUGAGUAGUGCAGAGGUAGGCGGAAUUCCCGGUGUAGCGGUGGAAUGCGUAGAUAUCGGGAGGAACACCAGUGGCGAAGGCGGCCUACUGGGCACCAACUGACGCUGAGGCUCGAAAGUGUGGGUAGCAAACAGGAUUAGAUACCCUGGUAGUCCACACCGUAAACGAUGAUUACUAGGUGUUGGAGGAAUUGACCCCUUCAGUGCCGCAGUUAACACAAUAAGUAAUCCACCUGGGGAGUACGACCGCAAGGUUGAAACUCAAAGGAAUUGACGGGGGCCCGCACAAGCAGUGGAGUAUGUGGUUUAUUCGACGCAACGCGAAGAACCUUACCAAGUCUUGACAUCCCUUGACAGACAUAGAAAUAUGUUUUCUCUUCGGAGCAAGGAGACAGGUGGUGCAUGGUUGUCGUCAGCUCGUGUCGUGAGAUGUUGGGUUAAGUCCCGCAACGAGCGCAACCCUUAUGGUCAGUUACUACGCAAGAGGACUCUGGCCAGACUGCCGUUGACAAAACGGAGGAAGGUGGGGAUGACGUCAAAUCAUCAUGCCCUUUAUGACUUGGGCUACACACGUACUACAAUGGCGUUAAACAAAGAGAAGCAAGACCGCGAGGUGGAGCAAAACUCAGAAACAACGUCCCAGUUCGGACUGCAGGCUGCAACUCGCCUGCACGAAGUCGGAAUUGCUAGUAAUCGUGGAUCAGCAUGCCACGGUGAAUACGUUCCCGGGCCUUGCACUCACCGCCCGUCA
rnacentral:rRNA from 1 species